ACGGGAACACGUCACAACAAGGACCUCCUCAAACUGUCAAUAACGAGUUGGGAAGAAUGGAUCCUCCGCCGUCCACGGUGCUGCUGAUGGAUAUGUUCACACCUCCGAGAGGAAUCUUCUCUAUUCGCGAUUCUUCCCGGGGAGCUUGUAGAAGAAUCCUGCUGCCAUCAACUGCUAACUGAGAGAACAGUCCAAACUUAACUUCCAGAACAUCUCAAAUCUCUUCUUGGUAAAUUGCCUGAAGAUUGGAUGAUUGGACCUGGGUUUGAAUAAUUAAUGUCAGAUUGUAAUAUUGGAAUUAUAUGGCUCUAGCACACUUUUUAAUAAAACUGAAUUACGCCCAUUUUCAUGAACUCUAUUACUUUCAAGGGCUCUUUUGGGGUUAAAUAUUUCAGAAGAGGGAAAGCACAUAAAUACUUCUCCGGCUGGCACAUUAUAUCUGUGAUCGUCACUUUUUCAAGGAGAGACCCUUAAACUGCAUUUCUACGACGACAAAAUGACACGAGUUAUGGAUCGUAUUAAGUCUAAAUCGGCCCUCAACUUAGCUGAGACCAAACAAAAGUAGCAGGAAGAUUGGUGUAC